GACGUAGGGUGCGAGCGUUGUCCGGAUUUAUUGGGCGUAAAGAGCGUGUAGGCGGCCAAGCAGGUCUGCUGUGAAAACUCGAGGCUCAACCUCGAGACGUCGGUGGAAACCGUUUGGCUAGAGUCCGGAAGAGGAGAGUGGAAUUCCCGGUGUAGCGGUGAAAUGCGCAGAUAUCGGGAAGAACACCCGUGGCGAAGGCGGCUCUCUGGGACGGUACUGACGCUGAGACGCGAAAGCGUGGGGAGCGAACAGG
rnacentral:rRNA from 1 species